CUCCCUUUCACGGACAUCUCCGCAAAGACUCCUGCCAUGAAGGCUAUCCUGGUGAUCGCUCUGAUCGUUUUGCCUCGUUGCAGAAUCAUACGCGGCAAUUCCACUACGGCAAGCCUGCCUGCUUCCACCAGAGACUGGACUGUGUAAGGCUCGCAUCCCGAGGUACCACUACAGUACGGGCUGCUGGCACUUGCCAAGAGUUCAUAUACGGUGGUUGUGGUGGCAACGCAAACAACUUCAGGUCAUCAGUGAGUGUUUGGCUGCUUGCUCAGGCACCAGAGGUUGAAGCGGAC